rnacentral:miRNA from 1 species
AAAAGUUUAUUGAUACAAAAUACAAUCACAGCACAACAUAUGUGCCCAAAUAUCUAAAAAGCCACAAUAGGCAAUUGUCUAUUGUGGCUUUUUAGAUAUUUGGGCACAUAUGUUGUGCUGUGAUUGUAUUUUGUAUCAAUAA